UACGAAGGGGGCUAGCGUUGCUCGGAAUUACUGGGCGUAAAGCGCACGUAGGCGGUUUCUUAAGUCGGGGGUGAAAUCCUGGAGCUCAACUCCAGAACUGCCUUCGAUACUGGGAAACUUGAGUCCAGGAGAGGUGAGUGGAACUGCGAGUGUAGAGGUGAAAUUCGUAGAUAUUCGCAAGAACACCAGUGGCGAAGGCGGCUCACUGGCCCGGUACUGACGCUGAGGUGCGAAAGCGUGGGGAGCAAACAGG
rnacentral:rRNA from 1 species